CCCAAAGACACUAUUUUUGCAGCUGUUUGAAGUUUGUACAUUUUCUAUACUGCAGAGCUUCACAAAAUUGAAGAAUGUUAAUGUUCAAGUUUUCUUAUCAUGUGUUUAGAAGGUUUUUUUUGUUUGCGUUCUGUUUUUGUUGUUGCAAA